rnacentral:sRNA from 1 species
CGUCACAGAUUUGUGGACAAAUAAAGUGAAUGUGUGUGUCUACACAGCCCGCCGUAAAAAUGUGGCCUUCUCCAGAUAGUACUUCGGUCGUGACCCCAAUAAUCAUUCCUGGUGUGACACCUUCCAUAACAUCUGGAUUCCCUGAUUUUCCAAUUCCUGAAAUAAACCCAUUUUUGAUACCGAUGUCGGCUUUGUAGAUACCAGUGUAAUCCAGAAUCACGGCAUUCGUGAUGACGAGAUCAAGGGCAUCAGCUUGAGAGACACCAGCUUGUUGGCCCAUUCCUUCACG